GAAUAUGAAACUGGGCAAAUCUCCAGGGCCAGAUGGUUUAACUGCAAAGUACUAUAAAUCUUUGAAAGAAUGGUUAAUGCAACCUUUGAAAGAAGUUUGCAAUGAAAUACUACAGGGAGGAAAAGCACCCGAGUCGUGGAAAGAAGCAUACAUUACACUUAUACCAAAAACAGAAGUGGAAAAGACACAGUUGAAGAACUACCGUCCCAUAUCCCUACUUAAUGUGGAUUACAAAAUUUUUAUGGAAAUUAUGGCUAAAAGAUUAAAAAAUGUAUUGGUGAAAGAAAUUCAUAAAGAUCAAGCGGGCUUUCUCCCGGGGAGACAUCUGUCAGAUAAUACGAGGAAUAUCAUUAAUAUUCUAGAAAAAUUGCAAGUUAAUAUUAAUACUAAAGCUGUUCUAAUAUUUGUGGAUGCGGAGAAAGCCUUUGACAAUAUUUCUUGGAAUUUCAUGAAGAAAAAUCUGCAGGGGAUGGGGGUAGGCCAAAGUUUUGAAAACGGUAUAGGUGCAAUUUAUUCAGAACAAAAAGCUAAGCUGAUUGUAAAUAAUGUAAUUACAGAAGAAUUUAAGAUAGAGAAAGGAACAAGACAGGGUUGCCCAAUCUCCCCAUUGCUUUUUAUAUCGGUCCUGGAGGUUUUGCUCAAUAUGAUUAGGAAAGACCAAUUGGUUAAAGGUAUACAACUCGGAACUAAAC